GUGCCAGCCAGCCGCGGUAAUACGGAAGGUCCAGGCGUUAUCCGGGAUUAUUGGGUUUAAAGGGAGUGUAGGCGGUUUGUUAAGCGUGUUGUGAAAUUUAGGUGCCUCAACAUUUAACUUGCAGCGCGAACUGUCAGACUUGAGUACACGCAACGUAUGCGGAAUUCAUGGUGUAGCGGUGAAAUGCUUAGAUAUCAUGAAGAACUCCGAUUGCGAAGGCAGCAUACGGGAGUGUAACUGACGCUUAAGCUCGAAGGUGCGGGUAUCGAACAGGAUUAGAUACCCUGGUAGUCC
rnacentral:rRNA from 1 species